ensembl:lncRNA
UGGAUUUCUGACAGCCUUCCAAAAUAUUUACAAUAUGUCAAUAGGUCUGCUGGUGAGAUACCUGUGAGAAUAUACUUGGGGGAACCCAGCUGCAGAUGGAAAUGAAGAUGCAGGAGGCUGUAGCUCCAGAUAGCUUAGAGCUUGUGAAUGACUCAUGCGGUUUGAAUGGUGUAAUAAGUAUAUUCCACCAUGAAGAACAGACAUCCAAAAAGGAAAGUUUGAAAUGAAUAUUAUUCUCUUGGACAAGGUUAGUCUUUUGUUGAGAUUACUCUGAGCAAGGAGGAAGUCAGACUGCCUGAAACUGAUUGUAAUACUGGAGUUUGGAGUCCAGUAUUACAAUCCAUCACCUAAUGGAUGAUGUUCUUCACAGGAUGAGCCCUU